UUCGAGCUCGGUACCCGACGAACGCUGGCGGCGUGCCUAAUACAUGCAAGUCGAACGAACUCUGGUAUUGAUUGGUGCUUGCAUCAUGAUUUACAUUUGAGUGAGUGGCGAACUGGUGAGUAACACGUGGGAAACCUGCCCAGAAGCGGGGGAUAACACCUGGAAACAGAUGCUAAUACCGCAUAACAACUUGGACCGCAUGGUCCGAGUUUGAAAGAUGGCUUCGGCUAUCACUUUUGGAUGGUCCCGCGGCGUAUUAGCUAGAUGGUGAGGUAACGGCUCACCAUGGCAAUGAUACGUAGCCGACCUGAGAGGGUAAUCGGCCACAUUGGGACUGAGACACGGCCCAAACUCCUACGGGAGGCAGCAGUAGGGAAUCUUUCACAAUGGACGAAAGUCUGAUGGAGCAACGCCGCGUGAGUGAAGAAGGGUUUCGGCUCGUAAAACUCUGUUGUUAAAGAAGAACAUAUCUGAGAAUAACUGUUCAGGUAUUGACGGUAUUUAACCAGAAAGCCACGGCUAACUACGUGCCAGCAGCCGCGGUAAUACGUAGGUGGCAAGCGUUGUCCGGAUUUAUUGGGCGUAAAGCGAGCGCAGGCGGUUUUUUAAGUCUGAUGUGAAAGCCUUCGGCUCAACCGAAGAAGUGCAUCGGAAACUGGGAAACUUGAGUGCAGAAGAGGACAGUGGAACUCCAUGUGUAGCGGUGAAAUGCGUAGAUAUAUGGAAGAACACCAGUGGCGAAGGCGGCUGUCUGGUCUGUAACUGACGCUGAGGCUCGAAAGUAUGGGUAGCAAACAGGAUUAGAUACCCUGGUAGUCCAUACCGUAAACGAUGAAUGCUAAGUGUUGGAGGGUUUCCGCCCUUCAGUGCUGCAGCUAACGCAUUAAGCAUUCCGCCUGGGGAGUACGGCCGCAAGGCUGAAACUCAAAGGAAUUGACGGGGGCCCGCACAAGCGGUAGAGCAUGUGGUUUAAUUCGAAGCUACGCGAAGAACCUUACCAGGUCUUGACAUACUAUGCAAAUCUAAGAGAUUAGACGUUCCCUUCGGGGACAUGGAUACAGGUGGUGCAUGGUUGUCGUCAGCUCGUGUCGUGAGAUGUUGGGUUAAGUCCCGCAACGAGCGCAACCCUUAUUAUCAGUUGCCAGCAUUAAGUUGGGCACUCUGGUGAGACUGCCGGUGACAAACCGGAGGAAGGUGGGGAUGACGUCAAAUCAUCAUGCCCCUUAUGACCUGGGCUACACACGUGCUACAAUGGAUGGUACAACGAGUUGCGAACUCGCGAGAGUAAGCUAAUCUCUUAAAGCCAUUCUCAGUUCGGAUUGUAGGCUGCAACUCGCCUACAUGAAGUCGGAAUCGCUAGUAAUCGCGGAUCAGCAUGCCGCGGUGAAUACGUUCCCGGGCCUUGUACACACCGCCCGUCACACCAUGAGAGUUUGUAACACCCAAAGUCGGUGGGGUAACCUUUUAGGAACCAGCCGCCUAAGGUGGGACAGAUGAUUAGGGUG
rnacentral:rRNA from 1 species